rnacentral:rRNA from 1 species
UGCCAGCCGCCGCGGUAAAACGUAGGACGCAAGCGUUAUCCGGAAUUACUGGGCGUAAAGCGCGCGCAGGCGGGUUGACAAGUCAUGCGUGAAAGCUCCCGGCUAAACUGGGAGAGGUCGGAUGAGACUGUCAGUCUGGAGUAGGUCAGAGGCGUGUGGAAUUCCGCGUGUAGUGGUGAAAUGCGUAGAGAUGCGGAGGAACACCAGUGGCGAAGGCGGCUUUCUGGACCAAUACUGACGCUGAGAUGCGAAAGCGUGGGGAGCGAACAGGAUUAGAUA